AUGAAAGGGUUUUGUUAUUUUAAAUCUCCUACUUUCCAAAUUCCCAGGAUUAAAAUUCUCGGCGUUUAUUUUAACCACAUACAUUUGCAGACAAAUCUCUUCUCCCAGCGCAAAAAAGUUGGAAGCAGGCUUAGGAGGCGAAGCCCAGCCGCAAGCUCCGGGGCUGGAAUUGCUGCGAGCGCUCGCGAGCCCGCUUUGCCGGCACACGCUGGCGGCGCAGCCCCGCCACGUUUCCUGCACGGGGGAAAGGGCCCGGCCCGUGAGGUGCUGGGAGCAUCGCGGGGAGGAAGGGUGGCUGCCAACCUGGCUCCUGGGCUGGUUGUCGUGCGGAGGACGAGCCCUUGGGAAAAACCCAGCGGGGUUGGUGCGUGCUGGGGCCGCGCAGAGCCGUGGGGCGCACACGGCGGUGUUACCGGUGACGCUGUCCGCUUCUGUAUCAGGAUGCUGACAAAUGCUACAGCAAAAAUAAAAAAAAAAUCGUGUUGGUUCCCUUCACCCCCUUCCUGCUGCUCUGCACACGUUGGGUAUGAAAGGGAAAGGAGCCGCCAGGCCUCGCCUGGCUCCUGCUUUGCCAAGGCAGCACCGGGGGGACCCGGAGGAGAAGGCUGCAGGGUGGGGGCCCGGCCCCAGCUGCCGGGAGGUGUGCGAAACGUGGGUGCCUGCAGGCAGCAGAAUGCCCCCCGCUCUUUAUCUAAAGCAGCAUCGGCGUCUGGCAAAUGUCACUCCCGGCUGGGAAGCCGCUUCCCUCCUGCUCUCCCCUCGCCCCUUCCCUGCUGCCGGCGGCGCCCGUGCAGCCCCCCAGACCUGCCCCAGGACCCCCUCAGCCCCCUGGUCCCAAGGCGAUGCGGGGCCAGGGGCAGCCCGUGGGGCGGGGUGGGGGCUUUCUGGGCCCCACACCCAAGGUGUCGCCCCCCUCCCUCCCCACGCCAGCCCCGGGGGUACCCCGGCCCUGCCUCGCAUCCCACCUGGAGCAUCCCUCGCCCAAAAGCCGCUCCGGAUGCUGCGCCUCCCGUCGCCAUGGCAACCCCCAUCCUCGCCGGGUUGCCAUGGCUCCCCGGCCCCCAGCCGCAGCCGCAGCGCGAGAGGACCCGGCGUUUCGGGUCCCCAGGGGCUGCCACGGCAGAGGGAUGCUCUGCGGGGCCUGGGACCACCGGGAUAAGCCAAGGCCAGGCCGAGGGCUGUGGGCGUGCUGGCACCUCCCUGCUCCUUGGUGCUAUGGGGGGGACGGGCUCCGUGACCACCCAGCAGCUCGGGGGGCUGAUGGGGAUGGCGUCCCCUGGCAGCAUCACCCAUGGCAGGGUGCUGGCAUCACUUUGUGGGCCACUUCCCAAACUUGUCUCCUUUCUGCCCAGGGUUCCUCCGCUCCGUGCAGCCUCCCUGGCCCCGCAGGUCGCGGCGGUGGGCAGGCACACCUUGCGUUGA
rnacentral:lncRNA from 1 species